rnacentral:rRNA from 1 species
CCUACGCGCGGCAGCAGUGAGGAAUAUUGGUCAAUGGGCGCGAGCCUGAACCAGCCAAGUAGCGUGAAGGAUGACUGCCCUACGGGUUGUAAACUUCUUUUAUAAAGGAAUAAAGUGAGGCACGUGCGCCUUUUUGUCUGUACUUUAUGAAUAAGGAUCGGCUAACUCCGUGCCAGCAGCCGCGGUAAUACGGAGGAUCCGGGCGUUAUCCGGAUUUAUAGGGUUUAAAGGAAGCGUAGAUGGGUUGUUAAGUCAGUUGUGAAAGUUUGCGGCUCAACCGUAAAAUUGCAGUUGAAACUGGCGUUCUUGAGAGCAGUAGAGGUGAGCGGAAUUCGUGGUGUAGCGGUGAAAUGCUUAGAUAUCACGAAGAACACCGGUUGCGAAGGCAGCUCACUGGACUGCAACUGACACUGAGGCUCGAAAGUGUGGGUAUCAAACAGGAUUAGAUACCCGAGUAGUC